UUGGAUUUCUGGUGAGAUGAAUUAUGUCUGGAUCGAAAGAUUCUGUUCAUGGUUUGUUUUGCCCUUCUUGUCAGGAACCCGUUGGGAUUUACUUCUCGACGGUGGAAUGGCAUCGUUUACUGUGAAAAAAUUAGAGUGUUCAAAGCAGGCAUCGCCGUUGAAUACAUUAGCAUGGAAUAAUAAGAUAAGACUUUGGUGGUCUAUUUUGUUGGUUUGCACGCCAAAGUAAUGAUUAAUAGGGAUAGUUGGGGGUAUUCGUAUUCUAUUGCUAGAGGUGAAAUUCUUAAAUUUAUGGAAGACGAACUACUGCGAAAGCAUUUACCAAGGAUGUUUUCAUUAAUCAAGAACGAAAGUUAGGGGAUCGAAGAUGAUUAGAUACCAUCGUAGUCUUAACCAUAAACUAUGCCGACUAGGGAUUAGCAGUUCACUAAUAAUUAGUUGCUGUUAGCACCUUAGGAGAAAUCAAAGUCUUUGGGUUCCGGGGGGAGUAUGGUCGCAAGGCUGAAACUUAAAGAAAUUGACGGA
rnacentral:rRNA from 1 species